GACGAACGCUGGCGGCGUGCCUAAUACAUGCAAGUCGAACGCAGUGGGGACGGGUGAGUAACAAGUGGGUAACCUCCCAUCAGAGGGGAUAACACUUGCAAACAGGUGCUAAACGGAUAAUGAUGGAUGGACCAGCUGUGCAUUAGCUAGUUGGUGAGGUAACGGCUCAACAAGGCCACGAUGCAUAGCCGACCUGAGAGGGUGAUCGUCCACACUGGGACUGAGACACGGCCCAGACUCCUCCGGUAGGAAGCAUUAGGGAAUCUUCGGCAAUGGACGAAAGUCUGCCCUAGCAACGCCGCGGGAGUGAAGAAGGUGUUCGGAUCGUAAAACUCUGUUGUUAGAGAAGCGGUAUCUAACCAGAAAGCCACGGCUAACUACGUGCCAGCAGCCGCGGUAAUAC
rnacentral:rRNA from 1 species